rnacentral:misc_RNA from 1 species
GAUGAAGAACGCAGCGAAAUGCGAUAAGUAAUGUGAAUUGCAGAAUUCAGUGAAUCAUCGAAUCUUUGAACGCACAUUGCGCCCCUUGGUAUUCCGAGGGGCAUGCCUGUUCGAGCGUCAUUAUAACCCCUCAAGCUCAGCUUGGUGUUGGGGCCUGCUGCACUGGCAGCCCUUAAAAUCAGUGGCGGCGCCAUCUGGCUCUAAGCGUAGUAAUUCUUCUCGCUAUGGAGUCCUGGUGGAUGCUUGCCAUCAACCCCCAAUUUUUCUAUGGUUGACCUCGGAUCAGGUAGGGAUACCCGCUGAACUUAAGCAUAUCAAUAAGGAGGA